AGGUACAUACAGGUCAGGUUAGGACCAGGUACAUACAGGUCAGGUUAGGACCAGGUACAUACAGGUCAGGUUAGGACCAGGUACAUACAGGUUAGGACCAGGUACAUACAGGGCAGGUUAGGACCAGGUACAUACAGGUCAGGUUAGGACCAGGUACAUAUAGGUUAGGACCAGGUACAUACAGGUCAGGACCAGGUAUAUACAGGUCAGGUCAGGACCAGGUACAUACAGGUCAGGUCAGGACCAGGUACAUACAGGUUAGGUUAAGACCAGGUACAAACAGGUCAGGACCAGGUACAUACAGGUCAGGUUAGGACCAGGUACAUACAGGUCAGGUUAGGACCAGGUACAUACAGGUUAGGUUAAGACCAGGUACAAACAGGUUAGGACCAGGUACAUACAGGUUAGGUUAAGACCAGGUACAAACAGGUCAGGACCAGGUACAUACAGGUCAGGUUAGGACCAGGUACAUACAGGUCAGGUUAGGACCAGGUACAUACAGGUCAGGUUAGGACCAGGUACAUACAGGUCAGGUUAGGACCAGGUACAUACAGGUCAGGUUAGGACCAGGUACAUACAGGUUAGGACCAGGUACAUACAGGUCAGGUCAGGACCAGGUACAUACAGGUCAGGUUAGGACCAGGUACAUACAGGUCAGGUUAGGACCAGGUACAUACAGGUCAGGUUAGGACCAGGUACAUACAGGUCAGGUUAGGACCAGGUACAUACAGGUCAGGACCAGGUACAUACAGGUCAGGUUAGGACCAGGUACAUACAGGUCAGGUUAGGACCAGGUACAUACAGGUCAGGUUAGGACCAGGUACAUACAGGUCAGGUUAGGACCAGGUACAUACAGGUCAGGUUAGGACCAGGUACAUACAGGUCAGGUUAGGACCAGGUACAUACAGGUUAGGUUAGGACCAGGUACAUACAGGUCAGGUUAGGACCAGGUACAUACAGGUCAGGUUAGGACCAGGUACAUACAGGUCAGUUUAGGACCAGGUACAUACAGGUCAGGUUAGGACCAGGUACAUACAGGUCAGGUUAGGACCAGGUACAUACAGGUUAGGACCAGGUACAUACAGGUCAGGUUAGGACCAGGUACAUACAGGUCAGGUUAGGACCAGGUACAUACAGGUUAGGACCAGGUACAUACAGGGCAGGUUAGGACCAGGUACAUACAGGUCAGGUUAGGACCAGGUACAUACAGGUUAGGUUAAGACCAGGUACAAACAGGUUAGGACCAGGUACAUACAGGUCAGGUUAGGACCAGGUACAUACAGGUCAGGUUAGGACCAGGUACAUACAGGUUAGGUUAAGACCAGGUACAAACAGGUCAGGACCAGGUACAUACAGGUCAGGUUAGGACCAGGUACAUACAGGUCAGGUUAGGACCAGGUACAUACAGGUCAGGUUAGGACCAGGUACAUACAGGUUAGGUUAAGACCAGGUACAAACAGGUCAGGACCAGGUACAUACAGGUCAGGUUAGGACCAGGUACAUACAGGUCAGGUUAGGACCAGGUACAUACAGGUUAGGUUAAGACCAGGUACAAACAGGUUAGGACCAGGUACAUACAGGUUAGGUUAAGACCAGGUACAAACAGGUCAGGACCAGGUACAUACAGGUCAGGUUAGGACCAGGUACAUACAGGUCAGGUUAGGACCAGGUACAUACAGGUCAGGUUAGGACCAGGUACAUACAGGUCAGGUUAGGACCAGGUACAUACAGGUCAGGUUAGGACCAGGUACAUACAGGUUAGGACCAGGUACAUACAGGUCAGGUCAGGACCAGGUACAUACAGGUUAGGACCAGGUACAUACAGGUCAGGUUAGGACCAGGUACAUACAGGUCAGGUUAGGACCAGGUACAUACAGGUCAGGUUAGGACCAGGU